UUUUAGGAAAAGUGAAACUGCCGCCGGUGCUCUAUUCUAUAUAAUCGUGUUCGUGGGUUAACUUCUAUUGUCACUACCUUAAGCUAUUCCGUUGAAGGUCGAAUCGAAAGGGGCGAUGAUCAUAAUGAGAGAGCUAUAGUAGGAAAUACCAAUUCCAAUCCCAUCUCAAAAUCAAGAAAAGAAGAAAAAAAAUUUAGGUCUGAAUUUGAAGGUGUCGCCAUCCCUUUUCAUCGAAGGGGUUUGGCUUUGGUAUCUGAUAUUCUGCCCUCUUUUUUUUCUCCUCUUCAUCUUUCUGUCCCUUCAAAUUGAAUUGGGUUUUUUCCUACUAUGAUAGAUCUUUCGAAAUUUACACUUGAUAUGAGCCCCGAAUUUUUGCGAAUUCUUGAUUCUCACGAAAUUUAUUUUUUGUUUAAGAUCUAUUGUCGGUUUUUUGCACUUAUUUGAUUUUUGGAUGGGGAAACAGAUGCAUGUUGUUUUCUCGUUGAAGAAUCGAUGCGUAUAUAAAAAGCUUGAUUAACAUGUUUUUCAGAAAUUGGGUGAUUUUGUUGUAAUUGAGAAGCGGUCAGACAACCGUAGGGAUGGAAUCCAUAGAUGCUGAGUUUUUUUUCCGACUGUGAUAGAUCUUUCAAAUUGUACACUUAAUAUGAGCCCCGAAACUUUUCAUUUUCUUUACGAAUGUUGAUUUUUAUGAAACUUGUUUUUGCUAUCGGUCUUGAUUCGAAACUAUGCUUUGGCGGAUAAAUGUGUGUCCCUGGUAAUGGUAUUGGUGGGCUAUCGGUUUUGAUUUGAAACUAUGCAUUGGUGGAUAAAUGUGUGUACAUAGUAUUGGUAUUGGUGGGCUAUCACUCUUGAUUCGAAACUAUGCGUUGGCGGAUAAAUGCGUGUACCUAGUAUUGGUAUUGGUGGGCAAUCAAUCUUGAUUUGAAUGCGUUGGCGGAUAAAUGUGUGUACCUGGUAUUGAUAGGCUAUCGGUCUUGUUUCAAAACUAUGCGUUGGCGGAUAAAUGUGUGUACCUGGUAUUGGUAUUUGUGGGCUAUCGGUCUUGAUUCGAAACUAUGCAUUGACAGAUAAAUGUGUGUACCUGGUGUUGGCAUUGGUGGGCUAUUGGUCUUGAUUCUUAAACUAUGCUUUGUCGAAUAAAUAUGUGUACCUGGUAUUGGUAUUGGUGGGUUGUUGGUAAUUGGCUUGGAAUUUCCACGAUAUUUCAAAGAGAGUAGUUGGUAUGCUGGAAAUCAUAUCUCACCAUUUUUAUGGUAUGCUAUUUUUUCAUACAUAUGGUAUAUUGUUAGUAAUUGGCUCGGAAUCUCCACGAUAUUUCUAAGAGAGUAAUUGGUAUACUGGAAAUCAUAUCUCACCAUUUUUAUGGUGUGCUAUUUUUUCAUGCAUAUGGUAUAUUGUUAGUAAUUGACUCGGAAUCUCCACGAUAUUUCAAAGAGAGUAGUUGGUAUAUUGGAAAUCAUAUCUCACCAUUUUUAUGGUGUGCUAUUUUUUUAUGCAUAUGGUAUGUUGUUAGUAAUUGGCUCGGAAUCUCCACGAUAUUUCAAAGAGAGUAGUUGGUAUACUAGAAAUCAUAUCUCACCAUUUUUAUGGUGUGCUAUUUUGUCUGGAAAUCAAAUAUCAAUAUCAAAAUAAAAUAAAAACAAAAUUAAUGGUCAGAAUUUGAAGGUGCCGCCAUCCCUUUUCAUCGAAGGGGUUUGGCUUUGGUAUCUCAUAUUCUGCUGUCUUCUUUUUCCUCUUCAUCUUUCCGUCCCUUCAAAUUGAUUUGGGUUUUUUUCCUACUGCAAUAGAUCUUUUCAAAUUUACACUUGAUAUGAGCCCCGAAACUUUUCAUUUACUUUAUGAAUUCUUGAAUUUUAUGAAAUUUGUUUCUUCUUUUAGAUCUUUUGACCUUUUUUCGCACUUAUUUGAUUUUUGGAUGGGGAAACAGUUGCAUGUUGUUUUCUUGUUGAAGAAUCCGUGCGUAUAUAAAAAGCUUAAUUAUAGCAACUGCUUGUUUAUGAUAAACAUGUAUUCAGAAAUUUGGUAGUUUUGUUGUAAUUGAGCAGCGGCCAGACAACCGUAGGGAUGGAAUCCACAGAUGCUGAGUUUAUUUGUCUCAUCAUUCUACUAAUUCCAUCUCACAUUUUCUUAUGCUCAGCUUAAAUUCAGUAAUAAAGAAAUUUAAAUAUGUACAUAUAUUAGAUUGAUAUAUGAAAAAAACCAUAAUUUCACAAAAUUGAAUAAUCAGAAAAAUGAAGUACCACAACUAUAGUACAUGGUAUAUGAUAAAUGUGUGUAACUGAUGUUGGAAUUGGGGGCUAUCGGUCUUGAUUCGAAACUAUGCGUUGGCGAGAUAAAUGUGUGUUAAACUAUGCGUUGUCGGAUAAAUGUGUGUAAAACUAUGCGUUGGCGGAUAAAUGUAUGUACUUGGUACUGGUAUUGGUGGGCUAUCGGUCUUGAUUCGAAACUAUGUGUUGGCGGGAUAAAUGUGUGUAAAACUAUGCGUUGGUGGAUAAAUGUGUGUAAAACUAUGUGUUGGCGGAUAGAUGUGUGUACCUGGUACUGGUAUUGGUGGGCUAUCGGUCUUGAUUCAAAACUAUGCUUUGGCGGAUAAAUGUGUGUCCCUGGUAUUGGCGGGCUAUCAGUCUUGAUUCGAAACUAUGUGUUGGCGGAUAAAUUUUUAUACCUGGUACUGGUAUUGGUGUGCUAUCGGUCUUGAUUAAAAACUAUGUGUUGGCGGAUAAAUGUGUGUACCUAGUAUUGGUAUUGGCGGGCUAUCGAUCUUGAUUCGAAACUAUGUGUUGACCGAUAAAUGUGUGUACUUGGUAUUGGUUAUCGGUCUUGAUUCGAAACUAUGUGUUGUCGGGUGUGGUAUACUGGAAAUCAUAUCUCACCAUUUUUAUGGUGUCCUAUUUUUUUAAGCAUAUGGUAUAUUGUUGGCAGUUGGCUCGGAAUUUCCACGAUAUUUCAAAGAGAGUAGUUGGUAUACUUGAAAUCAUAUCUCACCUUUUUUUAUGGUGUCCUAUUUUGUCAUGCAUAUGGUAUAUUAUUGGUAGUUGGCUUGGAAUUUCCACGAUAUUUCAAAGAGAGUAGUUGGUUUACUAGAAAUCAUAUCUCACAUUUUUUAUGGUGUCCUAUUUUUUCAUGCAUGUGGUAUAUGGUUUGUAAUUGGCUCGUAAUUUCCAUGAUAUUUCAAAGUGAGUAGUGGUAUAUUUGAAAUCAUAUCUCACCUUUUUUAUGGUAUCCUAUUUUUUCAUGCAUAUGGUAUAUUGUUAGUAAUUGGCUCGGAGUUUCCACGACGAAAAAGUAUUCAAACAACAAGUAUCUCAUAGAGGAGAAAAUGCUCUGGAAUUGGAUAAAUUACACAUCUAAUUGGUUAGUAGGCUGUGUGGCUCAAUGUUAAAUGUGCCCGGAAAUUAUGCUUUGGGUGUAAUGACUGAAGUGGACCCCAAGGCGGUGUAGGUUUGGUGUUCCUAGCUGUAUAUUUGGAGCUAUCUUUGCAGGGUGGAUCAACUGCUGACUGACUGUUUUAUAAUAAUGUUUUCACAUUUCAUUUUUUUUCCAGAAUUGGAUCAACUGCUGACUGACUGUUUCACAGUAAUGUUUUCGCAUUUCAUUUUGUUCCAGAAUUUGGAUUGUCAUAGUGUUGAUUAAGUAUAUGAUGGAACCAGUUUGUUUGGCAUGGAUAUUGGUAGAGUCAUCAGAUAAGCCUAGGCAUUUGAUCUUUUGCAGCUGAUGGGAUCUAUGGGUACUUUAAUUUGGUCGGAUAGUGGAUGAACUAUGCUUUGUGGAUCAGUCUGUUUUGAUUGUCAUUAUAACUGGAUCAGAAAAUCGGUAGUUGACUCUCGCUGUGUUAGAGCAUCCAGACAGCAUUGUACAGUGCUUUUAGUCCUGCGUGGUAAUGGUGGUUUAACCUGACUGGAGCAAUUUUGCUUUGAAGCAAAACUGUCCCGCGCAGGCUCGCAUUUUGAUUUUUGUGCAGCCGUGUACUUGUCAAUAGAUUGGGAUGAUUUUGGUGUUACAAUGGGAAAGCUUGGCACAUUUGGAGCGGUUCACCGCUAGAAUCGAUAACGGCAGAGUAUUUUCUAGGAUAGUCAGCAUAAUUUGGUUCACUUCCUAGGGAUCCUAAAGAAUUAAAGUGAUCUCUUGUACAGAAAGAUGUUACACGGCAGUUUUGGAACUGCUAUUAUUGUCUGAGCUGGAUAAAACUAAAGAUUAAGACAUUGUUUAUUUCCACUUUCUAAUCAGAGGCUGGAUGGUCAAGAACAUUAAGGAAAUUGUGUGAGCUGUGUUGGUCUUGGAAUAUCAUUCCUGGCACACUAUGCCGAUCACCACUGAAAAUCUGUGAAUAAAAUAUUUUCCUAGCUCAUUGACGAAGAAAGCCUUCACGUGGUUUACCACUCUUCCCCCAAAUUCCAUCUUCAUAUGGAAUCAAUUGGAGAAAGUAUUCCACGAACAACUCUAUAUGGGAUAGUCGAAGGUUACUCUCAAAGAAUUGGCCAGUGUUAGGCGAAAGGUGGCUGAAAAUAAUUAUGAUUACCUAAAUAGGUUUAGAACUUUUAAAUCAUGGUGUUUCACCAAGUACCAGAGCACAAGUUAGUCAAACUAGCAGCAGGGGGUCUCGAUUAUUCCAUUAGGAAGAAAUCGGAUAUCCAAUACCUAAUGUACAUGGCCCAAUUGGCCGACAAAGUUCCACAAACCAAAUAAUUAAAGGCUUAGAAGGUCAGAACGGCAAAGUUUAGUAAAAAGAAAGUAGCUUAUGGCGAGAUAGACAAUGCAGAAAAUGCUUAUGGCGAGAUAGACAACGCAGAAAAUGCUUUUCACUCAAAUUAUGAGUACGUCGAAGAUGGCUGAUGUCAAAACCAUACCGGAACUUAUGGAAGAGGAGGCUCGGAGGCAAGAUAAACUCGCGUCCACUUUGACCAACAUUAUUCAAGUGAAAAACAAGCACUUAUCUGAGAUUGAAGCAAGAUGCACCCAGACUACGGAAAAUGUGAAUUCUGCUAUGACAGAAAACGAUUUACUCAUUCAAUCUUAUAAUAAAGAAAAUACAGGCAAGUGCUAAGGAUCACUUCCAAAGGAUUUUUAAUGAUCACGAAAAGCUUAAAUCGCAACUGGAAUCUCAGAAAAGUGAGCUUGAAUUGCGGAGAAUUGCUUUGGAAAAACGUGAAGCACAUAAUGAAAGUGAAAGAAAAAAGUUGACACUGUGCCAAUCCUUGAAGCUAUGAAGCAAAGAUAUAAUGAGGAGGAAGCCGAAGACAGCUACAGAACUAUGUUCAUUGUGGGAAGAGUAUCUAAAAGACCCAGAUUGGCAUCCGUUCAAAGUUGUCAUGAUUGACGGGAAAGAAAGAGUUUCUUUCUUCUUUUCUUCUAAUGAAGAAGUGAGGAUCCUAAAACAACCCAUAAGAUCAAAAAGAAGCAAGAUGUUACUUUCUAUGAGUAAGAGCAUUUUGCGCAUGAAGCUUAUGCGUCACCUCGUGUCAAGGUCACUGCCAAACCCAUUCUAUUUGUCAGGAACUCUAAUCUGUUUUAGUUCGGUUUAGAUCAGUGGCCCCUAUUAGGGAUGUUGCUUUUGUUUUGUGUUUUGUUAUUUCACCUUUCAUUUUUUGACGCUGUUAUAUUCAAUUUAUGUCUAAGAUGUGUUCAUAAUCCCUAGGGAAUGAGACUAACAAGUAUGGAGCUAUUGUUAGUAGUCUCAUUUUCUCUGUUAUCUCGGGUUAUCCUUAUAACAUUCAAGAAACUCAAGGAUUAAAACUGUUUAAAUUGGCCAGUUGUGUUGAAUGAGAGCAAGUAGACUGUUAAUUAAUCUCUAUAUUACAUACAAUCCAUGAGUCUUUUCACUUGUAUACAACUUGCUAUAAUAUUUGGAAAAAAUGACAAUGUAUAUUUUAGUGAUAUUCAAACCUUUAUGAUGUUUUUCAUAAUUUGGCCACCUUUUUUAUGACAGAUGAUAACAUCAUAUUUUAUGUUAAUCGAACAGGUUUCAGUUUCUUGUUACUAAUGAUGAUUCAAAGAAUAUGAUUGAGAAAUUAGAUAGUGUCGACAUAAUUUAUGUCUUUUUGGCCUUCAUAAGAAUUAUGAGUUAGUUCAAAGUCAUAUCCUUUUUUGAGCUUGAGAUUCAACUAACCUCACACAUAUUGUUGUUUUGCUUUUGAUUUUACACCUCGUGGAGGAGGUCAAGAAAUUUGUAGUGGAGGAUGUCCUAAGUGAAUUUGUUGCAAUGGUUUGGUCAUACUGAUUAUAAGUGUUACUCUUAUUGGCUUCCUAUAAACACUAGUAAAUCUGACUUUACCUACUCAUUUGACUUGGCUUAAAUGACUAAAAAGGGGGGAAACUCGAAAUUCUUCCAUCGAUGUGUAAUGAAUAGAAGGAAGACAAAUGAGAUAUGUAGCUUGGAGUCUCGAGAUGCUUUGAUAACUAGGGUUCAAGAAAUAAAGCGGGGAAUAGAGCAGUUCUAAAUGAGUUUGAGUUUAGAAAUAUCAAAGCGGAGGAUAAUAUUGUGCUCAAAGGGGAAUUCUUAGAGGGAGAGAUUCGAAGGACAUUUUGGGAUUGUGACAGUUCGAAGAGUUCAGGUCCAAAGGUUCAGAUGAUGUAUCAUUUGGAUUUAUUAAAGAGUUCUGGGAGGUGAUUAAAAGUGACUUCAUUAGAUUAAUUGGAGAGAUUCAUAUGAAUGGGAGGAUAGUUCGUGGUGCGAAUAGCUCAUUCAUAACCUUAAUUCCAAGUUCUGUUAAUCUGGUAAAGUAUAAUGAGUUCCAACCUAUAUCUCGAAUUGGUUGUAUGUACAAAAUGUUGGCAAAAUUGUUUGCAAACAGACUAAAAAGGUGUUACAUAAGGUGAUUUUGGAAGCACAAUUUGCUCUUAUUGAGAAAAGGCAGAUGCUAGAUUGCAUUCUUAUAGCAAAUGAGUUGGUAGACAAUGCUAAGCGUAGGAAAAAAAGCUCUAAUUUUGAAGUCGAUUUUGAGAAAGCAUUCGACUCGGUGGACUGGAAAUAUCUGGAUUGUAUGAUGAUGAGAAUUUUAUUUAAUGAUAAAUAGAGGGGAUGGAUUGCAGAGUGUCUAUAAUCAGCGACGAUUUCGGUGUUGGUAAAUGGGAGACCAACUAAAGAAUUUGUAUUCGGAGUAGGUCUUAGGGAAGGGGACCCAUUGUCUUCGUUUUUUUUUCUGAUAGCGGCAGAGGGUCUGAAUCUAAUGAUGUCUAGAAAUUUAAAAAGAACCUUUUUGACAGAUAUCAGUUUGGAAAUGGCGAGGUGAAGAUUUCAAUAUUCAAUACGCAGAUGACACAAUUAUAAUAUGUGAGAGAAGAUGGAAGAAUAUCUUGGCAGUUAAGGCAAUCUUGCAGUUAUUUGAAUUGGUGUCUGGGUCGAAAGUGAAUUUUCUCAAGAGUUCGUUAACUGGGGUUAAUUUAAACCAAUCUUGGCCGGAGGCAACCAUUGCUUUAAAUUUUAAAGUGGGGGAGUAAACUUUUAGUAUUUAGGGCUGCCGGUGGGAAGCAAUCAUCGGAGGGAACGAGAGUGGAAACCUGUGGUGGAAACAGUUCAAAAUAGGUUGUCUUCAUGGAACAAUAAACAUAUUUCAGUGGGUGGCCGUAUUAUCCUACUGAAAGCUGUCUUGUAUGCCUUACCGGUAUACUAUCUUUCUUUCUUCAAAGCUCCGACAUGUAUUAUCGUUAUGCUAGAAUCUACUUUUAAAAUUUUUCUGUAGGGUGAAGGGAUAGAAAGUGGAGAAAGAUGAUUUUGCUAUUAUUGAUGAGGUGCAGUUGACUUCUUGGAGGUGGCUUAAAUGUAAAGUUGGUGAAUUCAACUACUCUCUCAAUCAAUGGAUAUCAAAUCCAAGGGAAUGUCUAAGGUGUUAGUGGCGUUUGCGAGAUUGGGUGGUGAGAAGGUGUUGCAGUUAUUUUGCUGAACCUGGGAGCUGUGAAGGCUCAAAUUUAGCAUAAUUUGGAUUUUGCAGGUUUGGAGAAAGUGUUGAGGCAGAUGGUCCAUCAGUUUUCUGUUUUAUGUUCCGGUUGGAUAUUCGAGUAAGUAGCGGAGAAUCUAGAGUUUCACUGCAGUGAUGUGAUGGUUUUUGAGUUCGCAGGUCUGGUUGUUGUUUUAGUUUGAGUAGCGUAUCUCUAAGGAUUCGGUUGCAGGGUGUGGUGUAGGUUACUGUUAGGGAGAGGGUCCUGGUUUUUUGCCUCUGUUUUAUUCCAGUGUUGCAUUCUUAUAGUUUUGGUCAGUUGUUUUGGGUCUACUGUACUUGUCAAUAGCUUGGGAUGAUUUGGUGUUACAGUGGGAAAGCUUGGCACAUUUGGAGCGGUUCACCGCUAGAAUCAAUAACGAAAGAGUAUUUUCUAGGAUAGUCAGCAUAAUUUGGUUCAGUUCCAAGGGAUCCUAAAGAAUUAAAGUGAACUCUUGUACAAAAAGAUGUUGCACGACAGUUUUGGAACUGCUAUUAUUGUUGAGCAAUAUGGAUUCAGUUGAAUGGCAUUGUUUAUUUCUACUUUCCAAUAAGAGGCUUGGAUGGUCAAGAACAUUAAGGAAAUUGUGAGCUGUGUUGGUUUUGGAAUAUCAGUCCUGGCAUAUUAUGCCAAUCACCAAUCAAGAGGUUUUGCAGAAUUAAUAAUUAAUGUGAUACUGGUUUGCUGGUUUUAGUCUAGGUGGUGUCAGGUUGCUUUCUUGCUGCCUUGGGAUCUAUUUUAGUUAUAAAUAAAUAACUUCUUAGGCUUUUAAAUUUUUUUACUUCAAAUGUAAGAAGUGCUUUAAAUAGUAAUCAAUACUAAGAAAGAUUGCAGGUUAGCAUUGAUCCUAGAAAUUAGUUAGAUUGUGUGAUUAUUGAAAUAGAGAUUGCUUGAUUUAAAAGAUUUGGUAUAUAAGUGUAAUUGAAUGUUAAAUCAAAAUCAAGUAAAAUUGGGUUAAUUUUUUUAAUGUUUAAGACUAGAUUUGUAGGAAUGAUUAAGAUUUGGAAGUAAAGUCAUAAACAUUGAGGACAAAAAUUAAAAUGUGAGAAACGUAAAUGUGCUUAAUUUAAAUGUGCAAAAAAUUUAAUUUUCUCGUUGGUUUGGCGUUUAUGCUUAAGAACUUAGAAAUUCUAGUAUAGUUUCUAUGUCAUUUUGCUGUGAAUAUAAGAAGUUAAAAAUUUUAGAAUUUAAGAAGUUAGAAAUUCUAGCUGUUUAGAAUAAAAAACCCAGGUUUCAAUGCUUAGUUGUAAUGGAAAGUUUUAGCAUUCUUAAUUUUUGGUCCCCACAAUAGAUACAUGAUAUUUUUAAGUGUUUUAGGAUAGUAUGAGUUACAGAAUUUUACUGAGCCUUUUUAAAUUUCCCCCCUAAUGUCUCUCAUUCACAAUAAUUUAUAUAUUGGUUCAGCAUUGAAAAGCAAUGAAAGGCACUACAAACAGCUAUAUUUGGUUUACUUUAUCGUAUUUAUAGUCAUAGCCUUAUCAUGUGAGAAAGAUUGUGUAGUACAAAGCAGAGGGAUUUGGUUAUAUAUUUUUAUUUGCACAACUAUGCAUAUGGAUAUGGAUGCUGAUUAGUGUUAAUAUUGAAAUGGGAUAUUUAUCAAAUUGAAGCUAUAUAUGCUACUACUACACUGAUACUGGGAAAACGAAAAUUCCCUUACUUUAUGUACAUUUUUGCUUUAGUUGCUAUCAUGGAAAUAUAUAUUUCAUAUAUAAUCAGACCUUGUGCAACUUAUUCACUAGAUUUUCUGUCAAAAUUUAUCAACCAGGUAUUAGGCAACACGAAAUAUGAUGUACUUGUUAUUUCAAUACUGAGGCUCAUGUAGAAUUUUGCAAAGCACUGUUGUGUUUAUGUUUUUCUAAGUUUGCGAGUCUUGCAGAGUUUGUUCAAGUCGCCCUGGUGUGCAGAGUCUAUUCGGAGUUAUUUUCGGUGCAAGUUAUUUUAGUCUAGGUGUUUUUUGCAUUGCUCUGUCUGAAAUGAUAAGCAUUUUUAUUGUCAUGAUGUAUUGAAUUGAUUACCAGUUAGAGCUAAAUGUAUUGGACUUGGUAGUACUAAAUUAAUAUUUUUGGCUUUUAAAAAAAUCAAACAUAUAAUUAAAUUUCAAAACAAUUACUCUGAAUCAAGUAUUGCAGGUUUUUCAAGUAGCUUUUCAGCAAAAUGCAGAAAACAAUUGAGGUAGAAAAUUUAAAUUUAAAAUGUUGCAUGAUUAGAGAAAUUUGAAAAACUAGACUUUUGUAAUAUUAAUGUAUGGUUUGCUUAUCUUAGACUAGAUAUAUAUUGUAGUUCAUUGAGUGCUAGGUAAAAUUGUAUGAUGCUUGAGAUGGAGUCAAAUUGACAAAGAAGAUGCUAAUAGUUAAAAAUAAAAAUUAUAGUUUAUAUAAUUAAAUUAGUAAAAGUAUUUGUUUUAUGACCAAAAUAAAAUUAUUUCUUUUAAUUUAAUUAAUUCAAUAACUUAAAAUUAUUGCAUGUUUUUAAGAUGUAACCGAACGUGUUUUUAACAACUCCAACUUUUUA